rnacentral:rRNA from 1 species
CGCAGCUGAUGCAGCACGCCGCGUGAGUGAUGAGGCCUUCGGGUUGUAAACCUCUUUUCUCGGGGACGAUAAUGGCGGUACCCCCCGAAUAAGCCCCGGCCAACUCCGUGCCCGCCGCCCCCGUAAAACCAAGGGGGCCGGGGUUGUCCGGAUUUUCUGGGCGUAAAGCGCACGUAGGGGGGUUGGUUAGUCGGGGGUGAAAUCCCCCGGCUUAACUCGGGAAGGGCCUUCCAUACUGGACGGCUUGAGUGCGGGUGGGGGGGGUGGAAUUCCCUGUGGGGAGGGGAAAUGGGUUGAUAUUCGGAGGAACGCCAGUGGGGAAGGCGGGUCACUGGUCCGGUACUGACCCUUAAGUGCGGAAGCGUGGGGAGCAAACCGGAUUUGAUACCCUGGUAGUCCACGCCAUUAACUAUGGGUGCUAGGGGUGGGGUGGAAUUUUU